rnacentral:rRNA from 1 species
UACGAAGGGGGCUAGCGUUGCUCGGAAUCACUGGGCGUAAAGGGCGCGUAGGCGGCUGAUUUAGUCGAGGGUGAAAGCCUGUGGCUCAACCACAGAAUUGCCUUCGAUACUGGUUGGCUUGAGACCGGAAGAGGACAGCGGAACUGCGAGUGUAGAGGUGAAAUUCGUAGAUAUUCGCAAGAACACCAGUGGCGAAGGCGGCUGUCUGGUCCGGUUCUGACGCUGAGGAGCGAAAGCGUGGGGAGCGAACAGG